CUACGGGGGGCUGCAGUGAGGAAUAUUGCACAAUGGGGGGAACCCUGAUGCGGCAACGCCGCGUGGAGGAUGACGCAUUUCGGUGUGUAAACUCCUUUUAUAUGUCAAGAAAAUGACGGUAGCAUAUGAAUAAGCACCGGCUAACUCCGUGCCAGCAGCCGCGGUAAUACGGAGGGUGCAAGCGUUACUCGGAAUCACUGGGCGUAAAGGGCGCGUAGGCGGGUUGGAAAGUCAGGUGUGAAAUCCUACAGCUUAACUGUAGAACUGCACUUGAAACUUCUAAUCUAGAGUAUGGGAGGGGGAGAUGGAAUUAGUGGUGUAGGGGUAAUAUCCGUAGAUAUCACUAGGAAUACCUAAAGCGAAGGCGAUCUCCUGGAACAUUACUGACGCUAAGGCGUGAAAGCGUGGGGAGCAAACAGGAUUAGAUACCCGUGUAGUC
rnacentral:rRNA from 1 species